AAGGUUUCCUGGGGAAGGUUCAUCCGCCCAGGGUCAGUCGGGACCUAAGCCGAGGACGGAAGUCGUAGGCGAUGGACAGCAGGUGGAGAUUCCUGCACCGCCAUAAGAAUGAGGCAAUGACACAGAAGGAUACCGUGAGCCGGGUGAUGGUCAACCCGGUUGUCAAACGAGGCUGGUAGUUAGUCAAGUACGGCUACCGUAAGGCAGAGUGAAGACGAGAGCGAAAAUUAGAGUAGCGAAACACGGGAUUUCACGCUGGCGAGAAAAGUUGCUAGUAUAUUGAAGUGGCGCCCGUACCGCAAAACCGACGCAGGUAGGCGAGGUGAGAAUCCUAAGACGAACGGGAGAAUCCCUGUUAAGGAACUCGGCAAAAUGACCCCGUAACUUCGGGAGAAGGGGUGCCGACGAAAAGUCGGUCGCAGAGAAUAGGCUCAAGCGACUGUUUAGCAAAAACACAGGUAUCUGCGAAAAGCGAGAGCUGACGUAUAGGUGCUGACACCUGCCCGGUGCUGAAGGUUAAGGGAAUGUCAUCGCAAGAGAAG
rnacentral:rRNA from 1 species